rnacentral:rRNA from 1 species
GACGAACGCUGGCGGCGUGCCUAAUACAUGCAAGUUGAGCGCUGAAGGUUGGUACUUGUACCAACUGGAUGAGCAGCGAACGGGUGAGUAACGCGUGGGGAAUCUGCCUUUGAGCGGGGGACAACACUUGGAAACGAAUGCUAAUACCGCAUAAAAACUUUAAACACAAGUUUUAAGUUUGAAAGAUGCAAUUGCAUCACUCAAAGAUGAUCCCGCGUUGUAUUAGCUAGUUGGUGAGGUAAAGGCUCACCAAGGCGAUGAUACAUAGCCGACCUGAGAGGGUGAUCGGCCACAUUGGGACUGAGACACGGCCCAAACUCCUACGGGAGGCAGCAGUAGGGAAUCUUCGGCAAUGGACGAAAGUCUGACCGAGCAACGCCGCGUGAGUGAAGAAGGUUUUCGGAUCGUAAAACUCUGUUGGUAGAGAAGAACGUUGGUGAGAGUGGAAAGCUCAUCAAGUGACGGUAACUACCCAGAAAGGGACGGCUAACUACGUG